rnacentral:lncRNA from 1 species
AAGGAAGUGAUGUGUGGGUCCAGGGUCCUCACAGAAAGUGAACUCUGCACAGAGGGAGAAAGAUGUAAAAGACCUUUGGAAUACAUUUUAGCCACAUGCAAGUUAUCACUUGUGCAAAUUCCACCUUACACUCACAGGCGGCAGGCUCUCUCCAAGGAUGUCGCUACAUGACUCUUGUUCCAUGGAGAGUCAUUUGCUGACAAAUUACAGAACAAACUUCUUUCACAUAUAUAUGACAUUGCUAAGGAAAUGCAGCUCUGAUUUCUCUACCUCAUUCUGGCCGCCCUGUGGCCUGUGGAUGUCCUGGGCCAGGGAUAAGAUCUGAGCUACAGUUGUGACCUACACUUAAGAGGCAGCAAUGCCAGAUCCUUUAACCCAUUGUGUCAGACCAGGAUUGGAUCUACAUCUUGGUGCUGCAGAGAUGCUGCCGAUCCCCUUGUGCCACAGUGGGAACUCCUUUACAUCAUUUGUAAACUGCUUUUUGAUCUAACUAGACAUCUUACUUUUUCUUUCCUUCAUCCUCUCACUUAGCCAUAGAAGACCAAGAAGGCCACUGACAUCAUAGACAGAUUGCUCUUACUGUGAACUCUCUUCCUGUGACAUGUCACAUCCUCAGAGCAGAGGUCGCCCUCCUGGAAGAAACCAAUGUUUUGUGAGGCAUUCAAAGUCACAAUCCAGAGUUCCUUUCAGAACAACUGAAAGAAAGAAAAGACAGAUUUAUUCGCCGAAGCGAUGGAGAAGGAUAUUAGGACAAACGUCUAUGUGGAAAAAACAAUCCAACGUACGCAUUUCUUGGGUGAAAAGAUACACAGCGUUUUCAGAGGCUUUUCCCCCGCUCAUCUUAAUGAAGGUGAAUUAUUUAACACAGUUAAAUAAUCUCCAGUUUUCAAUUUAAUGAGACUUACCAGCCCUACGUUUGGCACAUUCUCUUCUAUUAAGCUUUCAGCUAAACCCCAGAGAUAAAAGGUGUUUUACUUCAAAGAAAUCUGAUUUGUUUUUUAUCUAGUAUAUUCAACUGGCAUAAAUUCAGGCAUACCACAUCAGACCUCAGUGAAAUCUGUGUUAGAAGUUUCCCUUUGUUUUCAAAGUCCUUAUAAAUAGCUUUCUUCCAAGCUAUACCUGGUCUUUGUGAACAGAAUGAGUAAGGUUUGAGUGUGUAGGUAAACACAUUUGUAGGAGUCUGUAGAUUUAGGGCCUGGGCUGUUAAGGCAGAUCUGGAAACUGUAAGAGAAUAGCUAAGUAAACUAAAAAAAUAUUAGAGAAUAGAUAGGUUUUUUUAAAAAAAUAGAAAGUCAGUUUAUCUAGAUGUGUGACCAUGACAAGUCCAGUUGUGCUCACUCGACUGAAAGGUCACUGUGUACUUUGGGGAUUCUGUGGGGUUCCCCCCCAAGCACUGCCGAUAGCAGACACAGCUGGGCAGGAG